UGUCGUCAGGUUCUACUAUAGGACAAGAAAAAACUUUAAAUCUGGAGUCACAUGAUCUGCUGUGGUGAGUCAACUUCUGUUAGUGCAUCUAAACCAGUGUCUGGCCACAGGCAAUAACCAAUAAUCUGGAAGCUUCAGUCAAAGAAAUAACCAGGCAAUGUAUUUAUCCAUCACUUUUGAAAGCCAUGGUGGAUAUUGCCACAAGGAGCAGUUGGACAGCUGGUUGCUAUCAAAGAACUCAGGGACGUAAAGACCAAAAAGAAAAACUCGCAGUAAGACGCUUUCAGAACUCUUCAACAUAAACAAGACCUAAAAUUUACAAUAAAUUAUGCAACAGGACUCAAAGUAGUUCAAGUCCAAGCUUACCUUACGCUACAUUCUACUGCACGACACCAGUGAGGCAUCUCAUCAUGAAGGGAACACAACUGAUGGCAGGAACUGAACACUUUCUCAGCGUCACUGUACCAGCCAGCAUCUGAUAGGAACCCUCCU